rnacentral:lncRNA from 1 species
AAAUAAGAAUAAAGUUAAGUUAUUGGAUGAGUUUGAUGUGAUGGUAAACAUUAAAUAACCCGAAUAUCUACUAUAGAAUAUCUAUUCCAGCCAACAUCAAAUGUUUCUAAUACUAAAUAUAAUAUGUACAUACAUAUUAUCAGAAACGUUCCAUUUACGCCACGUUCUUUUUUUUUCGCUUUCUUGUGUGCAAUCAAAGGAUAUCAAGCAACGGAGGCUUCCGAUGUGAGGGCCACAGUCUGGUCUCAUUCGUCGUGCAAAGCUCUUUCCAUCUUCGAAUCUAAGAUUUAGAAGAGCAAUUUCGAGACUGAGAAACUUUAGGUAAUUUUGCUAUGUUUCAAGUGAAGAUGAGUUGCUUUCAUUUCCCACCUGUAGAUCCCGCAUUCUUGUUAACAGACUUGUACAACGAUGUACAUAUUUGAUGUAACUCAAAGAAUAAUAUUUGAGUUACACCGAUGUCACUUUGCAUGUGCUAGUCGUCGGCGUAGGGUCAGGCAGCCACGCAGCGGCACCCACAUGUUCAGACACCUCCAUGACUCCCACCUGACCUAAAUUAAGCUGCCGCAUUCAUAUCCACGUGAAGAGUCCGCGGCCACAACUCAACAGCCAUUCCGA